CCCUUAGAUGUUCUGGGCCGCACGCGCGCUACACUGAUGCAUUCAACGAGUUUCUUCCUGGUCCGAGAGGAAUGGGUAACCUUUUGAAAGUGCAUCGUGAUAGGGAUAGACUAUUGCAAUUAUUGGUCUUCAACGAGGAAUUCCUAGUAAACGUAGUUCAUCAGACUGCAUCGAUUACGUCCCUGCCCUUUGUACACACCGCCCGUCGCUCCUACCGAUUGAAUGCUCAGGUGAGCCAUUCGGACUUUCAUCAUGCUGGUUUCCAGUUUUGAUGAAGGAAAGUCUUGCGAACCUUAUCAUUUAGAGGAAGGAGAAGUCGUAACA
rnacentral:rRNA from 1 species